UCUCCCUUCUCUCCUCUCCUCUCCUCUCCAAACCUCUAUAAAUACCACCCCUCCCCCUCCAAUCCGAACCACAGCUCUCCACCUCUCUCUAACCUCUGUCCAUUCAGAAAUCAGUAGAUAGAUAGGAGAGUGAAAGCUCGAGCUCCGGCCAUGGCCGUUUAGAGAGAGAAACCGAAAAGAGAAAAAAAAGUGGGUUUCUCACUUGCACCACCUCUUAACCCGAAUUACCACUUCCAAACAUCCAUACCCACCAUAAGCUUCCCAAAACAGCCACCAAAUGCCUUGAACCGAGCCCGAACAGCCGUACUCCGGUCGUUUUCUCCGACGAACCGAAAAACUUGAAAACUCGUUUAAAGCUUGUUUUGAUCAAAGCCGAAUUUAAUCAGUUGCUUCGUCGAUCAAUUUGUCAGAAGCUGCAGGUAGUGACGACAUAGAAGAUCAGCCUUGCGAGCCGGAUCUGCACUAUUUAGGAGAGAUACCAGGGGCAGAGACUGAGCAAGAUUAUGCUUGGAAUCCAUAUUAGAACUAGAGUCGCUCUGAGUCAUUGCUCUGUGACGCCAUGUCACCCAAAGGCCUCCGUACAUGUGGGGUAAAGCAUAUUAAUUUCGACCUUAAGCUGUAAUAGGAAGAUACUGUUCCGUGUUUUUUAAUAAAAAGAAUAUUAUUUA